AGGGUUGUAGUUAUUUAAAUAACAGUUAGUUUGCAACUAAAAAGUACAACAUUGUCUUCCUUU
rnacentral:tRNA from 1 species